GAUGAACGCUAGCGAUAGGCUUAACACAUGCAAGUCGAGGGGCAGCAUGGUCUUAGCUUGCUAAGACUGAUGGCGACCGGCGCACGGGUGCGUAACGCGUAUGCAACUUGCCUCACAGAGGGGGAUAACCCGUCGAAAGACGGACUAAUACCGCGUACACUCCAUCUUGGGCAUCCAAGGUAGAGGAAAUGAAAUUCGCUGUGAGAUAGGCAUGCGUCCCAUUAGCUAGUUGGUGAGGUAACGGCUCACCAAGGCGACGAUGGGUAGGGGAACUGAGAGGUUGAACCCCCACACUGGUACUGAGACACGGACCAGACUCCUACGGGAGGCAGCAGUGAGGAAUAUUGGUCAAUGGGCGAGAGCCUGAACCAGCCAAGUCGCGUGAAGGAUGACUGUCUUAUGGAUUGUAAACUUCUUUUGUAGGGGAAUAAAGAGGGGCACGAGUGCCUCAGUGAAUGACCCUACGAA
rnacentral:rRNA from 1 species